UACGUAGGGGGCGAGCGUUGUCCGGAUUUAUUGGGCGUAAAGAGCUCGUAGGCGGUUUGGUAAGUUGGAUGUGAAAUCUUCAGGCUCAACUUGGAGGGGUCAUUCGAUACUGCCAUGACUAGAGUUCGGUAGGGGAGUGUGGAAUUCCUGGUGGAGCGGUGAAAUGCGCAGAUAUCAGGAGGAACACCCGUAGCGAAGGCGGCACUCUGGGCCGGAACUGACGCUGAGGAGCGAAAGCGUGGGGAGCGAACAGG
rnacentral:rRNA from 1 species